GGACUCACACAAGCGGUGGAUCAUGUGGUUUAAUUCGACGACAAACGGGGAACCUUACCAAGGCUUGAAACCUAGACGAAAGUUCUGUGAAAGCAGAACCCUUCGCAAGAACGGCUAGGCAGGUGCUGCAUGGUUGUCGUCAGCAGGUGCCGUGAGGCGCUCCCUUAGAUGGGUAAACCUGCGCAACCCUUGCCCUGUGUUUUAAAUGUCACAGGGGACUGCCCGGGACAACUGGGAGGAAGGUGAGGAUGACGCCAAAUCAGCAUGGCCCUUUGACGCCUUGGGCCACACACGUGAUACAAUGGUUGGUACAGAGGGUAGCCAAAUCGCAAGAUGGAGCUAAUCCCAAAAGCCAAUCUCAGUUCGGAUUGAGGGCUGCAACUCGCCCUCAUGAAGCUGGAAUCGCUAGUAACCGCAAAUCAGACAUGUUGCGGUGAAUAUGUCCCUGAGUCUU
rnacentral:rRNA from 1 species